GCGAUGAUAGCCGAGUGGUCAAGGUGUUGCCUUCCAACCAAAAGGUACUCAAUUCGAAUCGUGAUCGCG